rnacentral:rRNA from 1 species
GAUGAACGCUAGCGGCAGGCUUAAUACAUGCAAGUCGAGGGGCAGCAGCUCUGUAGCAAUACAGAGGCUGGCGACCGGCAAACGGGUGCGGAACACGUACGCAACUUACCCAUAACUGAUGAAUAGCCCUCCGAAAGGAGGAUUAAUACAUCGUAACAUAAUGAGAUGGCAUCAUUUUAUUAUUAUAGCUCCGGCGGUUAUGGAUGGGCGUGCGGCUGAUUAGGUAGUUGGCGGAGUAAUAGCCCACCAAGCCAACGAUCAGUAACUGGUGUGAGAGCACGACCAGUCACACGGGCACUGAGACA